rnacentral:rRNA from 1 species
GACCGAGCAACGCCGCGUGAGUGAAGAAGGUUUUCGGAUCGUAAAACUCUGUUGUUAGAGAAGAACAAGGAUGAGAGUAACUGUUCAUCCCUUGACGGUAUCUAACCAGAAAGCCACGGCUAACUACGUGCCAGCAGCCGCGGUAAUACGUAGGUGGCAAGCGUUGUCCGGAUUUAUUGGGCGUAAAGCGAGCGCAGGCGGUUUCUUAAGUCUGAUGUGAAAGCCCCCGGCUCAACCGGGGAGGGUCAUUGGAAACUGGGAGACUUGAGUGCAGAAGAGGAGAGUGGAAUUCCAUGUGUAGCGGUGAAAUGCGUAGAUAUAUGGAGGAACACCAGUGGCGAAGGCGGCUCUCUGGUCUGUAACUGACGCUGAGGCUCGAAAGCGUGGGGAGCAAACAGGAUUAGAUACCCUGGUAGUCCACGCCGUAAACGAUGAGUGCUAAGUGUUGGAGGGUUUCCGCCCUUCAGUGCUGCAGCUAACGCAUUAAGCACUCCGCCUGGGGAGUACGACCGCAAGGUUGAAACUCAAAGGAAUUGACGGGGGCCCGCACAAGCGGUGGAGCAUGUGGUUUAAUUCNAAGCAACGCGAAGAACCUUACCAGGUCUUGACAUCCUUUGACCACUCUAGAGAUAGAGCUU